rnacentral:lncRNA from 1 species
UCCCCCACUCCAGCUUAAUGGCAGUCCCUAUCAUGCUGCUCAUGCCAUGUCACCUCGAUAGGAGAGGAGCAGCAAUAGACCCCAUCAAAAUCAUUAUACAAUAUUGUAAAAACAAAAUUUAUGACUCUCUUGCUAUUCAUUUUCAAAAAUUUUUUAUCGUUACUUAAGAACAAAAGAGAGAUGUAGCUGCUGCUCCCAAUCUCUAGCUUUUUUAGAUUUGUUUUUAAAAUUCUAAAUAUUUAAAUAAUUAUUUCAUAAUGGUGUUAUAAUAAAAAAUAACAACAAUAUGGAAGAAAUGAUUGGUAGUAUUUUUUAAUUAU